UGAGGGUAUCUCUUGCAGGAGAUCCCUACCUACUGGAGGCCUUCUAAAGACCAUCUGUCAUUAAUGAGGAAAGUAACUCGGAUAGUGGCCUGGUUCUUCACAAUGGUUUCAACAAAAAGAAAAUGAAGGUGUCAUUUCCAGCCGCACGUAGAAAAUGGUUGACAAGAAUUCUGACAGAUUUAUAGUACUGAAGGACUGGAUAGGGCAGGAUAAUUCUGAGACUAUUGCAUCACGAAAUCAAAUUGAAAAGUUUUUAAGUGAUUGAAAACUGAGGAUGAAUUUUAAUUGUCCAGUAAGAUAGUACCAUGAUAUAUGUGGAGAAAUCACUGGCAAUAUUAUAAGUGGCCAUCACAAUUUGUCACUUCUGGUUGUUGUUGGCCUGGGUUUGCAGUGGUCCCAUACUCAGCUGUUUGUAAAGUCACAAGCCACAUGAUAGUGUCUGGAAACGUGUCAUUCUUGCAGCUCCUGUGCUUGAUAGAUGCCUGCAAAAUUCCAUCACACUUUUGCAUGGACCUGUUUGGGUCUCAGGGAGAGAAGGUUUCAGCCUCUUAAGAGGAAAGAUUUAUAUCCAAGAAGCUCUAUUGGCCCUGCACCAACGAUUACAAGUCUGCAAACUGUUGCAAGCCGGUUGAGCCACAGCAGUGAAAUUGAUUUUGCUUCAGCGACUGGAUUUUCAGCUUGAGCUGUGGUAGCAUUUGGAGCAGAGUCUGUGCAGGGUAUCAGGAGGCAGCAGACUUGAACAACUGCUUGGAUAGGAACAGAGCCUGAGAAAUUGCAGUGCUGGGAGCAGUUGGCCGUGUAACCAAGGAUCAACAGAGUAGUAAGAAGGCUUACUCUGAGUUUGUUCUGACCUACCUAGAGGAACUAAAUGAAAGAGGAGAUGACCCAGACAAAAAGCUGCAUUCACCAUUGGGCCUAGUCUUCAGUGCAUCAGGAGAUAGAAUCGGCAGCUCAGCUGAAGGGGUCACAGUGUAAAGCCAGAGGCAGGUUCUGCAAAAAAAUAUCAGCAAUCUCAGUCAGAAACAACUUUCAGGACCUUUGGACGCCCAUUUAAUGCCUGCAGAUCCCCUAGGGGAGACUACACAGCUGACAGUGGCACUGGUGAGGAAACUAGAAGAGAAACAUCCUAAGGCCUCAGCUCAAAGUGCCUCCUGACUAGUUCAGAACUCGUCCAUAUGAAGUUAAAGAAAGGGGCUGAGCAGCGAUACCAACCAUUGCUCAUGACUGAUGUGUGAAACUUUUUCUCCAGAUGCUAAUUGUGAGACCGUUCUGUGGGAAGGGCAACUAAAUAACCUAUGUCAACAGAUACACUUAAUGUCAAGGGAAAAGAACCUUAAGAAUGUAUGCAGUAGACUCAAGGCAUGAAGGUACAGUCCUAUAGUGGUAUCUCCUUCAACAAAGCCAGCAGAAAAAGUCCCCCAUUGCUCCGUCAUCAGCUACUUCUGUAACGUGUGUGUCAAAUACAGUUGUGCGCCAACUUCCUGCUUUUGAAGAAGCAAAUGAAUAAGGAACUGGAGGAGAAAAAAGGGACAACAGACAAUGCAGAAGAUAAUUUAGAUCAUUAUCUGAACUUUCACCAGAUGAAUGACUUAAACCUGUCAUCAGCAACUGCAAUGCCCAGAGAGCCAACUGUGUGUGAAGGGACUGAAGUGAAAAUUCAAGAGUGUCC